rnacentral:SRP_RNA from 1 species
CCGUGCUAGGUGGGGAGCUAGCGGUGCCCUGUAACCCGCAAACCGCUCUAGCGGGGUUGAAUUCCCAGUUGAGAUGAAGUCUUUCAGGGCCGGCCCGGAGAUUCGGGUGUUGAAGGCCGGGUCCUGCGCGGCGGAGGCUUGUGAAUCCCGUCAGGUCCGGGAGGAAGCAGCGGUAAGCAAGUUACUUCGGGUGCCGCAGGGGUGCCUGGCUGGAGCCAGGACUACGGGUAUCGCCUGGGGGUCCUUUAGCAGGACUGGGUGCACGG